CGAUUGAACGCUGGCGGAAUGCUUUACACAUGCAAGUCGAACGGGCAGCACGGGGCGAACCUGGUGGCGAGUGGCGAACGGGUGAGUAAUACAUCGGAACGUGCCCAAUCGUGGGGGAUAACGUAGCGAAAGUUACGCUAAUACCGCAUACGAUCUACGGAUGAAAGCGGGGGAUCGCAAGACCUCGCGCGAAUGGAGCGGCCGAUGUCAGAUUAGGUAGUUGGUGGGGUAAAGGCUCACCAAGCCAACGAUCUGUAGCUGGUCUGAGAGGACGACCAGCCACACUGGAACUGAGACACGGUCCAGACUCCUACGGGAGGCAGCAGUGGGGAAUUUUGGACAAUGGGCGCAAGCCUGAUCCAGCCAUUCCGCGUGCAGGAUGAAGGCCUUCGGGUUGUAAACUGCUUUUGUACGGAACGAAACGGUGAGCUCUAAUAAAGCUUGCUAAUGACGGUACCGUAAGAAUAAGCACCGGCUAACUACGUG
rnacentral:rRNA from 1 species